GGUGUCAUAGCCGCUGGAAAGGCAUAGGCGAGGCAUCGCUGAAGUUGGUGGUUCGAAUCCAUCUGGCACCA
rfam:Pseudobutyrivibrio xylanivorans DSM 14809 genome assembly, contig: EJ90DRAFT_scaffold00001.1